AUGUCGGCGGGCAGCGCGCAGCACCGCCUGGAUCAUCUGCAGCUGCAGCAGCAGCGGCUGAUCCAGGAGGGGGACACGACAGAGAUCGAUCCAAGGGAGCAGCAGCAAGAGAGAGGGAAGGAGCGGAGCCACAAAUCCGGCGGUGCUCAAGUGAGAGCAGUGUGAGGGAAGGAGAUGCGGCGGUGCUGCACCUAUGUGAGAGAGAAGCAGAAAGGUGGGCCCAGGUGGCUUGCGUGGACACGGGAGCGUGUAUCCUGGCUGUCUCCAACAGCUCUCCUACCCUAUAUCGUAUCACGUUCCCUAUUUCAAACUUCAAUAUGUAAAUAAUAUCAUCUAAUUCUCCU
rnacentral:misc_RNA from 1 species